UACAGAGGGGGCAAGCGUUAUUCGGAAUUAUUGGGCGUAAAGGGCGCGUAGGCGGCCUGACAAGUGGAAGGUGAAAUCCCUCGGCUUAACCGAGGAACUGCCUCCCAAACUGUUUGGCUUGAGACCGGGAGAGGUGAGUGGAAUUCCCAGUGUAGCGGUGAAAUGCGUAGAUAUUGGGAGGAACACCAGUGGCGAAGGCGGCUCACUGGACCGGUACUGACGCUGAGGCGCGAAAGCGUGGGGAGCAAACGGG
rnacentral:rRNA from 1 species